rnacentral:rRNA from 1 species
AGAGUUUGAUCCUGGCUCAGAUUGAACGCUGGCGGCGUGCCUAACACAUGCAAGUCGAGCGGUAACAGGCGUAGCAAUACAUGCUGACGAGCGGCGAACGGGUGAGUAAUGCUUUGGAAUCUUCCCAGUAGUGGGGAAUAACCAGUCGAAAGAUUGGCUAAUACCGCAUACGUCUGUAAAGGGAAAGCGGGGGCUCGUAAGACCUCGCGCUAUUGGAUGGGCCAAAGUCGGAUUAGCUAGUUGGUGGGGUAAUGGCCUACCAAGGCGACAAUCCGUAGCUGGUCUGAGAGGACGACCAGCCACACCGGAACUGAGACACGGUCCGGACUCCUACGGGAGGCAGCAGUGGGGAAUAUUGGACAAUGGGGGAAACCCUGAUCCAGCGACGCCGCGUGUGUGAAGAAGGCCUGCGGGUUGUAAAGCACUUUUAGUGGG